rnacentral:rRNA from 1 species
AUCUAUGGCCAUACUACCCUGAAUGCGCCCAAUCUCAUCUGAUCUUGGAAGACACCUGUCCAGUGAGAAAUAUUAUCCUGAAGGUUAUGUUACAUUUGUUUAUGUUGAAGAAU